GAGUCAGAAACCAGCUGUGUGAAGAGAAGAUUUGCCAAGCCACCUGAUGUUCAUUGUCCUACAGUGCUCCCAGAAUCCAGCCAGUACCCCUCAGGACCAACCCCAAAUGCAAGCAGUGCCUCUGGAGGAAGCCACUCGGAGGAUGUUCUGUCAAUUCACCAGGCUGACAAUGGCUUUUGUGGAAGCUAUUUGGCGGAGUUGGACCAGUCAAUGGACCACUGUAAUGAUGGAUUGCCAACAUAUAACUCCAGCCCCUCCCACGCUAUGCCAUUAGAGAAAGCAAGGAAUGACGGCGGUGCCAGCUAUGCACAUGGCUCAAGAUUAGCUGACUUCAGCGCACUGGGCUUGGCUCACCUGACCCCGCAGCACCCAUCCCACCCCCUUCAGCUCCAGAAACACCACGGGGGAGAUUAUAUGGAGAGGAAUCAAGCAGAGUGUUGAAAGGCAAGUAUCAUUUUCUGAGCAGGUUCUUAACCGUACUGAUGCCUUCUGAAUUGAGAAACCUAUCCCUUGUGACUUUCCCAUCUUUUCAUGUUUUUUGUCAUGGUGUUAAGGCUUAAAAUGUAAGCACUUAAACCUGCACUAUGUAACCUUUUUGUGAUUACAAUGUUAUUUUGUCCAAUCUGUAUGGUAGUGUUAAUACAAUAUAACUUAAAAUUGGGGUGGUUGAUUUUGGUCUCCCUGCUCUUCUAUUGAGACAUUUAGAUCCUUUAUCUAGGUGAGACAUGACCUUGGUUUGACAAAAAUUAUGACUUUAUGGUCAAUUUCUCC